AAGUAUAAACAACAGUUCAGAGGGGUUGAAACAUUUAUAUAUCCUUCUUACCUGUAUUACAUGUAAAUCCCAUAUUCAUGCCUCGAAUAAUCCUGUACUACAAUUUCAGACACCCCUAAAGUGGACUAUACCAUUUCUCUACCUUGACGUUAGCUGCGCAUCACAUCUGCCUUCGUCACUCCCAUCUGUGGCCAGCGUCUUUAUUGUGCAGGAGUUGUAAAUCCCCAUGGAGACUGUGUCUACUAUAUCAAUCCGGCCCACUGCAGCUGUCCGCCACCUCUGGUCAUAGAAGCGGCGAAGGACCCUCUGUCUUUGGUGACACUGGCACCUGAGGAGCCGAGUGAAAGCCCUCUGGAACUCUUUGCUGGAGCACGGGUAGAUCAUGGGGUUGAUGCAGCUGUUGAAGUAGCCCAGCCAAAAGACUACCUUGAACACAGUGUCAGAUGGCUUCAGUGCCGGGAAGAAGGAACCUAUGGAGAAGAAGCUGCGAAUAUUAUUAAGAAGUUUAAGGUCCAUCGGGUCGUGACCCCGGAUUUAACAGAAGGAAUGUCCAAAUGGUGGAAAAAGAACCAAGAACAACUUGCAAGCUCAAGGAGGAAGCCAGAGUUCCCGGAAGAAACCCACGGAAAAAGGCCCCAGCUGAUUCAAACCGAGGCGACAGUGAUAACAACUGCACCACCGAGCACUAACCAUAUUACAUUUACUAUAGUUUAAUAUUAUCAGGGACGUUUAUUUGAACAAAACUGUUUAAUGUUGUUUCAUUUACAGAUGGCUGCGGUGAAUUGAUCCACGGGGAGGCAUUUCUCACAAUCACAGUUUGGGGUUAUUCUUUGGGGGAAGCUGUGUCUCCAAGAAACAACUUUUAAUAACAAGGACGUCCCACUUAUGGGAAAUCGCCACUCUUUGAUUUUUGUUCCUUCCAGCAGUUUGCUUUUAUCUGCUGUGUAACAUUUCCAAUAACAAACACACUAAUUAGCCACUCUAACCUCAGCCUACAGAGGAAGAACAAAGCCUUUGUGGUUGCUGUGUCUUGGCCCCAGAGUGUUCGCACAGACCUGUGCUCCCUAGCAGAAUAAGGUUGAAGAGAUGAAGAAUAUAAGUCUCCCAUACAGGAGAAAGAGGACAAGAGGAGUUCCCUGUUGGAUUCUUACAUACUCUGUGGGGCUAACUGACUCCAUCUGCUUCAUAAGUCAUGACAGUUCUCUUUCAGUCAGGCCAUCAAGGAAGAUAUUGCUUGUGCUAUGAGCAUACAGGAACAACCGUCCCAAAAGGUUUGUAAGGGGCAGAGGACACUUCAGCCUCACCACCAUGCCAAUGAAGAAUAAAAAACACAAUGAAAUUCUGUCUUUUUUUUCUCUUGUUUUAUACCAGAAAUAAAUACUUUUUACUUACA